AGCGAACGCUGGCGGCAGGCCUAACACAUGCAAGUCGAACGAAGUCUUCGGACUUAGUGGCGGACGGGUGAGUAACACGUGGGAACGUACCUUUUGGUUCGGAACAACUCAGGGAAACUUGAGCUAACACCGGAUGAGCCCUUAGGGGGAAAGAUUUAUCGCCGAAAGAACGGCCCGCGUUAGAUUAGCUAGUUUGUGAGGUAAAGGCUCACCAAGGCUACGAUCUAUAGCUGGUCUGAGAGGAUGAUCAGCCACACUGGGACUGAGACACGGCCCAGACUCCUACGGGAGGCAGCAGUGGGGAAUCUUGCGCAAUGGGCGAAAGCCUGACGCAGCCAUGCCGCGUGAAUGAUGAAGGUCUUAGGAUUGUAAAAUUCUUUUACCAGGGACGGUAAUGACGGUACCUGGAGAAAAAGCCCCGGCUAACUUCGUGCCAGCCGCCGCAGUAAUAC
rnacentral:rRNA from 1 species